rnacentral:tRNA from 1 species
UCCCUGGUGACUCAGCUGGUAAAGAACCUGCCUGUAAUGCAGGAGACCUGGGUUCAAUCCCUGGGUGGGGAA